rnacentral:rRNA from 1 species
GUAGGGGGCUAGCGUUGCUCGGAUUUACUGGGCGUAAAGAGCGCGUAGGCGGCCAGGUAAGUCCGGUGUGAAAGCCCUCGGCUCAACCGAGGAUCCGCAUCGGAAACUACCUGGCUUGAGUCCAGGAGAGGAGGGUGGAAUUCCCGAUGUAGCGGUGAAAUGCGUAGAUAUCGGGAGGAACACCUGUGGCGAAGGCGGCCCUCUGGAAUGGUACUGACGCUGAGGCGCGAAAGCUGGGGGAGCGAACGGGAUUAGAUACCCCGGGUAGUCCCAGCUGUAAACGAUGGGCACUAGGUGUGGGAGGUAUUGACCCCCUUCCGUGCCGCAGCUAACGCAUUAAGUGCCCCGCCUGGGGAGUACGGCCGCAAGGUUG